UACAGAGGUCCCAAGCGUUGUUCGGAUUCACUGGGCGUAAAGGGUGCGUAGGCGGUCGGGUAAGUCUGAUGUGAAAUCUCCAAGCUCAACUUGGAAAUGGCAUCGGAUACUAUUCGGCUCGAGGAAUGGAGGGGAGACUGGAAUACUUGGUGUAGCAGUGAAAUGCGUAGAUAUCAAGUGGAACACCAGUGGCGAAGGCGAGUCUCUCGGACAUUUCCUGACGCUGAGGCACGAAAGCCAGGGGAGCAAACGGG
rnacentral:rRNA from 1 species